GUCAACGUAGUUUAUUGGUUUGAACAUUGGACUAGGACUCUAGAAACCAGGGUUCAAAUCCCAGCUCAACCA